CCUCGGGUGGCAGCAGUAGGGAAUAUUGGUAAUCUGGGAAACCGGGAACCAGCAACGCCGCGUGCGCGUUGAAGGCCUUCGGGUUGUAAAGCGCUUUUUGAGAGGAUGAGGAAGGACAGUACUCUUAGAAUAAGCCUCGGCUAACUACGUGCCAGCAGCCGCGGUAAAACGUAGGAGGCGAGCGUUAUCCGGCUUUACUGGGCGUAAAGCGGGUGUAGGCGGUUUGAUAAGUUGGAUGUGAAAGCUCCUGGCUUAACUGGGAGAGGUCGUUCAAAACUAGCAGACUUGAGAGUGGGAGAGGGAGGUGGAAUUCCGCAUGUAGUGGUGAAAUGCGUAGAUAUGCGGAGGAACACCAGUGGCGAAAGCGGCCUCCCGGCCCAUUUCUGACGCUCAGACACGAAAGCUAAGGUAGCAAACG
rnacentral:rRNA from 1 species